rnacentral:lncRNA from 1 species
CGGUUGUCGGCGGUUUGCGCUUCGGUGGCGGCUCAGGCUUUGGUUCGGGUUUGGGUUCUGGUUUAGGCAUCGGUUCAGGCUUGGGCUCGGGUUUUGGUUCAGGUUUAGGCAUGGGCUUAGGCAUGGGCUCAGGCUUUGGUUCUGGUUUAGGCAUUGGCUUAGGCUUGGGUUCGGGUUUUGGCUCUGGUUUGGGCAUUGGCUCAGGCUUGGGUUCUGGUUUAGGCAUGGGCUCAGGCUUUGGUUCCGGUUUAAUUGGCUCAGGCUUCGGUUCCGGCUUAGGCAUUGGCUCGGGCUUGGGCUCAGGUUUUGGCUCAGGUUUAGGCAUUGGCUCGGGUUUGGGCUCAGGUUUAGGCUCAGGUUUAGGCACUGGCUCAGGCUUAGGCUCGGGUUUAGGCUCAGGUUUAGGCACUGGCUUAGGCAUGGGCUCGGGUUUUGGUUCCGGUUUAGGCAUUGGCUCAGGUUUGGGCUCGGGUUUAGGCUCGGGUUUAGGCAUUGGCUUAGGCAUGGGCUCGGGUUUUGGUUCCGGUUUGGGCAUGGGCUCUGGUUUUGGCUCGGGUUUUGGCAUUGGCUUAGGCAUGGGCUCUGGUUUUGGUUCCGGUUUAGGCAUCGGCUCAGGUUUCGGCUCUGGUUUAGGCAUUGGUUUGGGCAUUGGUUCCGGCUUGGGCUCUGGCUUCGGCUCGGGCUUGG